rnacentral:rRNA from 1 species
CGGAAGGAUCAUUACAGUUAUUAAUUCUUUGCCAGCGCUUAAUUGCGCGGCGGGAACUAAUCCUUACACACUGUGUUUUUUGUUAUUACAAGAACUAUUGCUUUGGCUUGGCCUUCGGGUUGGGCCAGAGACUUGAAUAAACUUCAAUUUUUUAUUGAAUUGUUUUUUAAAUUAUUGUCAAUUUGUUUGAUUAAAUUCAAAAUAAUCUUCAAAACUUUCAACAACGGAUCUCUUGGUUCUCGCAUCGAUGAAGAACGCAGCGAAAUGCGAUAAGUAAUAUGAAUUGCAGAUUUUCGUGAAUCAUCGAAUCUUUGAACGCACAUUGCGCCCUUUGGUAUUCCAAGGGGCAUGCCUGUUUGAGCGUCGUUUCUCUCUCAAACCUUUGGGUUUGGUAUUGAGUGAUACUCUUAGUCAGACUAGGCGUUUGCUUGAAAUGUAUCGGCAUGAGUGCGCUAGAUAGUGCUUUCUGAUUAUUCAAUGUAUUAGGUUUAUCCAACUCGUUGAAGGAUCAGGUGUAAAUUUCUGGUGGCAAUUGCUCGGCCUUACAACGACAAACAAGUUUGACCUCAAAUCAGGUAAGAAUACCCGCUGAACUUAAGCAUAUCAA